GUGGUGCCUUCCAUUUGCCAGCAUACACUCAGCUGCUCCUGGAGAGCCACAGGCUGUGAUGAGGGUUUGCAGUUGUUAGCAGUCUGGAGGUUACAGAAGAUUAGGUGAGAAACUCACUGCCUCCCGCCGGGAGGAGCCUUUCCCAUGAAAGCCAGAGCCCAGCUCCCAUCUGUCACCCCAUUACGUUUGGAGGUGGUGAAUAUAUUACCGUGCCGCUCGGAGAACUAAAACAAAACCAAAUUUCUGCUGGCCACAUGGCAACCCUCCACGAAAUUUAAUGAGGACGCUGCCCUUUGUGUGCUGGGCCACUUCCAACAGCUGUAGAGAUGAAGGCAGGAAGAUCUUGGCUGUCGCUCACAGUAGUGAUGCCUUCGAGCACCAAAGCUUUGCUGCCUGAGAUCCUGUGACACCGACAGCGAUGUCAGUGCCUCCCUUCCCUCUGAUUUCUCAGUGGGUCUUCGCAUUUUCAGGAGAGGGAACAAGAGCAUUAUUUUGGUCCCUGCUGUGAUCUGAUAUUGGGGAGCUUCCAGGACUUGAACAUCAGCAUCCUCUUUAGAGUGAUUAUGGAUGGAGCCCUCUGAUGAGCUUGCUCCCCCACUGACAACUGCAAUUCAUGGUGAUGCUGCAGCGAAAGUCGGGCGAGGGGUGAGGGGUGAGGGGGGGCACCUGUUGGUACAUUCCUGGCAGAAUUUGUCAUCGUUUCACUGGGGAAAAAGAGAAGAGCUUUCAUCUCCACACAGUGCCUGGGGGAACGCAGGGUGCAAUGCUGCUGCCAGCUGCUAAUGCUCCUUUGCUGGCUGUAGAGGUAACCGAAUCGCCUGCAUAACUUAAUCGAAUCAUUAGCCUGCUUUAGACAACAAACAAAAUACAAACAGGCGUAUUCCAUGAGCAUGGGAUGCAGAACAGAGGCUGUGUGCACGCAGAGAUACGGGGGCAGGCACCCUGUCCAGCUACAGCCUCCUUGGGAAGAUCGGCUCCAGCAGGACUGGGUACCCACCCCUGUCCUUGUCACUGUGGGAGGCAGAAACCUCAGAGCACAACAGGGUGCAGCAGGGCUCCUGGCCAGCUCUGCCCCAGGCACAGCGCUGCCAAAGCAGAGAUGAGUGGGUGCCCUGAGUGAGCAUCUCAAAAAAGAAUGAGAGCUCAACAGGAAGAGAUGGGAGCCAGUUCUGAAGGGUAAUGAUGGUGAAAGGCAUCCACGUGCUCCAGAGCAAUGACAAGCGUCUGCAGACCAGCAGUGACGGACACUGACUUUCAGCUUGCACCAUUUGGUGUGACCGUCUUUCUGCUAGGAGAGCAGUGAGGACAAAGUCCCCUUGUUUUCAGGUAAUCUGGUUGACUCAAAUUAUCCUUGGUGAGCACCCAGAGGAGAAAAAAUAAUAAUAUCCCUGAAAUAAGUGGUUUGGCUUCUCCACAGAGGAGGUGCUCACUUGAGGUUUGUGGGCAGCUUGGGUCCAAAAUCGAGCCUCAAAGCACUGCAGAUGGGAAGCUCUGGAUGGAUGUUAUGCUAUGGCUUAGUGACAUCAGGCUGUGCUUCAGCACUGAGUGUGAUUUUAGUGGUACCUGAAGUAAGAGGGGAUAGGGACAGAGAGAAGGAAAAGGCUUGUGCCUUUCCUUUCAUUUCUCUUAUCAAUGCCACCAUUCGGUUCUGCUCCUUAUUGUCAGCCGUUAUCACAAUGAGCCAAGAAAGUGCACAGCUUCAGCCAGGAGGAAAAAAGAGCAGGUGAAAUUCUGAUGUUGUCAGCUAAAAUAGUUUCCAGAUGAGCUCUGCCCACAAAGAAGCUGCGUUGCAGUGAGUUAGUUGCUAGACUUUGCAUUUGCUCCUCAUCCUUCCUCUCGGCUUCUAGCUCAAAGUGGAGCCCUGACAUUGCAAAGCACUGAUAGAAUUAGUCUCCCACAAACUGCUCACUGGGGCUUGUUAGCUCAAUUGUUAAUGCUAAAUUCUUAU
ensembl:lncRNA